AUCGCUUCUCGGCCUUUUGGCCAAGAUCAAGUGUAGUACAAGCAUACAUUUUAAAAAAUGGAGUAAUAUGUAUAGUGAGCUCGGGUCUUUUCAUGUAACUGCAUUUUCCUAUAUGAAGAUGUAUACUUC
rnacentral:snRNA from 1 species